GACGAACGCUGGCGGCGUGCUUAACACAUGCAAGUCGAACGGAAAGGCCCUGCUUUUGUGGGGUGCUCGAGUGGCGAACGGGUGAGUAACACGUGAGUAACCUGCCCUUGACUUUGGGAUAACUUCAGGAAACUGGGGCUAAUACCGGAUAGGAGCUCCUGCUGCAUGGUGGGGGUUGGAAAGUUUCGGCGGUUGGGGAUGGACUCGCGGCUUAUCAGCUUGUUGGUGGGGUAGUGGCUUACCAAGGCUUUGACGGGUAGCCGGCCUGAGAGGGUGACCGGCCACAUUGGAACUGGGAUACGGCCCAGACUCCUACGGGGGGCAGCAGUGGGGAAUAUUGCACAAUGGGCGGAGGCCUGAUGCAGCAACGCCGCGUGCGGGAUGACGGCCUUCGGGUUGUAAACCGCUUUCGCCUGUGACGAAGCGUGAGUGACGGUAAUGGGUAAAGAAGCACCGGCUAACUACGU
rnacentral:rRNA from 1 species